AUUUUCAUGUCUCAUUGUACAGCAUACAAAAAAAUCCUAAAAAAUGUAUUUUUUUAUCAGCAAAUGGUGGUUUUUCCAAGACAACAGAGCCAAUCAUUCAUAGCUACAAGCCAAUAAUUAAUUUCGAGUUUGAAAAUAUUAGCAGUCUUACUGAGUGUGAAUUUACAAUUGAUAAAUCAUCUGAGUAUGGAGCAAAGCAGCUCGCAAUAGAUUAUGGAAAUUUUAAAAUUAAUCGAACAAUAAUAUUGCAGAAAAAUGUAGUAAAAAUUGAAAAAUAUAAUGAGCUACCAAAAAAGUGGGGUACAAAUGAUUAUGUUGUAAAAUAUAAUGAUGAAUUUUGGGUAAAUUGUUCACACAAUAAACCGCUGAUAUUUUGUAGAAUUCAAAAAGCAAAUGA